UACGGAGGGUGCGAGCGUUGUUCGGAAUCACUGGGCGUAAAGGGCGUGUAGGCGGUCCGCUAAGUCUGAUGUGAAAGCCCGGGGCUCACCCCCGGAAGUGUAUUGGAAACUGGCGGACUCGAGUCCCGGAGAGGAGAGUGGAAUUCCUGGUGUAGCGGUGAAAUGCGUAGAUAUCAGGAGGAACACCGGUGGCGAAGGCGGCUCUCUGGACGGUGACUGACGCUGAGACGCGAAAGCGUGGGGAGCAAACAGG
rnacentral:rRNA from 1 species